rnacentral:rRNA from 1 species
UACAGAGGGGUCAAGCGUUGCUCGGUAUCACUGGGCUUAAAGGGCGCGUAGGCUGUGCGGUACGGUUCGGGUGAAAUCCCUCGGCUCAACCGAGGAACUGCCCGGGCGACGGCCGUGCUGGACUGCAUCAGGGGACGAUGGAACUCCCGGUGGAGCGGUGAAAUGCGUAGAUAUCGGGAGGAACGCCGGUGGCGAAAGCGAUCGUCUGGGGUGCAUGUGACGCUGAGGCGCGAAAGCUAGGGGAGCAAACGGG